rnacentral:rRNA from 1 species
UACGUAGGGUGCAAGCGUUGUCCGGAAUUAUUGGGCGUAAAGAGCUCGUAGGCGGUUUGUCGCGUCUGCUGUGAAAACCGGAGGCUCAACCUCCGGCCUGCAGUGGGUACGGGCAGACUAGAGUGCGGUAGGGGGAGAUUGGAAUUCCUGGUGUAGCGGUGGAAUGCGCAGAUAUCAGGAGGAACACCGAUGGCGAAGGCAGAUCUCUGGGCCGUAACUGACGCUGAGGAGACGGAAAGCGUGGGGAGCGAACAGG